GCUGGUUAAUUGUUAAAGUUGGAUAUUGGGUUCACGAGUAGGAGGAUAUCCUUAUGGACUCCCAGGAGUACCAGUAAGCAGGUAAGAAAUGAAAAUUAUUAUUUCUCGUUCUCUUAAGCAUGAAAAUAAAAAGUGGUAUGAACAUAGAUUUUCAUAGGUUGUUUUUGAAAAACUCAUUUAUAGUAAGUAUGAAAUAAAGGGGCUUCUUUAUAUUAAAUGAAUUUUACUCAAAUUAAGUGCUCCAUUAGUUAUUUUAUGAUUUUUUAUCAAUUUUUAAUUUUCUGUAUCUGUGAUUAGUAUGAUAUUCUU
rnacentral:lncRNA from 1 species